CUUUAACUACUUUUACUUAUCUGUGGUCUGUGGUUCUAACCUUAGGUUAGGUUUUGUACGUGUUUUAUACAUUUACUUUUCCAAGAAAAAUGGCAAUAUCGCAUAAAGCAGCAUUAGUAAUGGAAAUCGUUGCUUUAAAAUAUAAUGAGUUUCCAUUAAGUACAGCUAUAUAUAGAUGUACAUGACAUAUUUGUAAAUAGAACAGUGAUAUUUACAAAAAAGAAAUGUAAAAAAUGACCAAGAAAUUGAUUAAUGUUUUUUUAGAAAUAGACAACCAGUCAUGCAGACGUGAUAAAAGGAUCAAUCAUGAUUUGGCCAUCGACUUUCUUUAAUGCUACCAAUUUGAUUUCUGUGGUCCAUCUAUGCUGAUUUGGCAUUACCAUGGGUAAAUUUUCUUCAAACUUGACUGAUGUGGAAUGGAAUCAAACAGUUCAUCAUAUUAAAGCAUAGGCGAAUUAAAGUUGCAAUUUAAAUAUUAGAAUAUGGAAAUACUAACUAGUGGUAUGGCUGAUGAGAAUUGAAGUGGUCAUAUUUUGAUAAUGUAUCGUUUUUUAGAGAAUGAUGACUAGGCAUCAUAGAAAAUCCCGGUAAAACACUAGAAAAAUGUAAAAAAUAAAAAAUUGAAUGAGGGAUUGGCAACUCUGGGAUUUUGGUUGCAUAUAUAUUUGCAAAAUACAUUUAUUUAGUAGUAGGUCCAAAUAUAUAUUUUUUAUUUUUGACAAAAUUUCACUUUAUACAAUAUUUAAGUUAGAAUAUUGUGAAGUUUGAAAAAUGGAAUGUUUAUAAAAUUAAAAUAUAUAUAGGUAUAUCUACCAAGAACUUAAUUAUGUUAAAAACAAAAAAAAACAUUACCAUUAUGAUAAAAUUUUUGAAAUGGUAUGUACCUAUUUUAAUUUUUUAUUUGGCAAAUUUGUUCAUGAGUUUUCUAUAUAAGAAUAAAAGUAAUUUCUUAAAAAAUGGUAAGGGUUCCAUGCUUCAUUAUCAAACUGUGACAUCUUUAAUAUUUACAAGAUACCACAGAAAUUAUAUUCCUCAAAAUUAACAAGCAAAAUUGAUACUAGUUAUAUUUUAUAUAUUUAUCAAUAAGUAAUUUUCAUUGUGUAGCACAUCUAUAUAACUGUUUUAUUUUAUAGCUCUGAAGACCUUACUACCAAUAGGAAUUUUAAUUAUUUAAAUUGCAAUAAAAUUAUCACAUUCUAUAUAGUAAUAUGUUUUAUAUGUACUUAAUAAAAGUCAAUUUAUAUUUAAUGUACCACUUUCUUAUAAUUUUUAUAUUUGCCGAUUAUAUUGUCAUCAGUUUGAAGUAAAAGUCAUGAGUGUUUUAGUAAGACACAAAAAUGACAAAAAUAUCUUAAAUUAAUUUGAAAUUAUUUUAGAGCUUUUAAUAUUACUACACAUAGUAAAAACUUAUGAUUUCGGCAUAAAAUUUAGGUAUGUAAUUUACAUUGUAUAAACUAAGUAAAUAUUAUAAUUCUUACCUUUAUAAGUUGUAGUGUUAACAAAUUAAUGAAAAUAAUUGUAUUUUAUAAAAUUCUGGAUAACCUACAAUGUAGAGUUUGGCUCAUUAAGAAAGAGCCAUAUGGAUUUGAUAAACCAAAUACAAUGAUUCAGCUGGUAUUCCAUGGCAUGCUGAUUCAGACUUUGGACAGUCUUAAGUAUUCAACUAACUGUAUUCUCAACAUGCUUUGCUUAAUUCUUAUUAAUGAAAUGAGCGAUUAGUUUUAAUCGUUUCAAUGAAAUUGAUGCAGACAAUCUGUGCAACAAAUAUUUUUGUGUUACAUGAAAAUCUGUAUAAUUUUAUUUUCUUAGUCAUUUCAGGUAUGAUUAAAGUUGCAGUUUAAUAAAACAAAAUGUAAAUGAAGGUAUAAAAUAGUUGGUUAAUUUAUUUGUACUCAUAUAUUGGAAAUGUAUUCAGAAAUGAACAAGGAAGAAUAUUUAUAAAACAGUCAGUAAUGUUGUUUUUUUUUAUGAAACCAUAAUAACAAUAUGUAUUUUCAAUUUAAGUUUAAUAGUGUAAAAUAUCAGUGUGACUAUGGAGAUUUGUAUCUUAUCAAUGAAAUUUGGAAAUAAGUGUGAAAUAUCUAAAUUGGGGUCUAAUUAGAAAAAUAAUAAGAGUAAAAUAGAAUACCACAGAUUUCUGAUUGGCAUCAUUAACCAAAAUCGAGUAGAGAUAAAAAUACGUACCUUAUUUUAGACACUUAUUUUAAAACUAAUGUAUUCAGUUAUUUUUUAUUUUAAAAAUGUAUUCUGUUAUUAAUUUUUUAGUGUUUCA